AGCUGCAGCAGUGCCCUUGCAGAGAAGUGAUUUUCAAUGGGCUCACUUAACACUAUUUUAAUUGUUUUAAAAUGUUUCUAUGGGCUUUUGGAGGUCAGAAGCUGCUAAGUACUGAAGUCUUCCCCAGGGCUGUAGUCUGCGGGUUGGACAAAGGAAACCUGGAGAUUGUGAAAGGGAGCCUGGGAUGAACAGAAAUGAGCUUUCUUUCAUAGAGGUGGUACUGCACAGCCUCAUCCUAAGACAGACAACUGCCAUCUGCUUCAUGAGAUCAGCUGUGUCUGCUUACAAACGAUGAGCACAUCUGGGCUUGCUGACGAUUGAUGUCCCUUCAGAGAUGGAUGAGUCAGGAAAGUGAAUGGAUCCUCACCUGAGUACCCAGACUCCCUCCUGACCGGUCCUAUGCAGUUCUACCCUGAUUACUUGUGGCCUCAUGAUAUUGGGAAGGAGCUAGAGUAUACAGGCUGGGAAAGACUGGGAGCAGUGGGGGGUCUUUUGCAGCUAUGGGAAAACUAUUAAAACAUACCAGGUAAAGGUAUUCCAAUAUGGUUGCUUUUGGGUGCCCACACCCCUGUCAGUAACGACCACUUGUGCAGAAUAAGCCCAAUAAACUCAUUGAUUCUCCAGGGUGAAUUUUGAUGAAAUUGAACUUUGGUUUGUCAUUGGAAACUUGUGGUGGAAGGAGAGACAUUACCUCUCCCCUUUCAGAAAGAAAAUUCUCCCAUUAGAUAGUAAAUUCAUUUGUUGGUACCAUUAUGCCUCGAGGUAUUAAUGUAAAGCAGUAAAUAAAGCAACAUGUUAGAAGCA
rnacentral:lncRNA from 1 species